AGCGAACGCUGGCGGCAGGCUUAACACAUGCAAGUCGAGCGGGCACUUUCGGGUGUCAGCGGCGGACGGGUGAGUAACGCGUGGGAACGUGCCCUCUGGUUCGGAAUAACUCAGGGAAACUUGAGCUAAUACCGGAUACGCCCUUUUGGGGAAAGGCUUGCUGCCGGAGGAUCGGCCCGCGUCUGAUUAGCUAGUUGGUGAGGUAACGGCUCACCAAGGCGACGAUCAGUAGCUGGUCUGAGAGGAUGAUCAGCCACGCUGGGACUGAGACACGGCCCAGACUCCUACGGGAGGCAGCAGUGGGGAAUAUUGGACAAUGGGCGCAAGCCUGAUCCAGCCAUGCCGCGUGAGUGAUGAAGGCCUUAGGGUUGUAAAGCUCUUUUAUCCGGGACGAUAAUGACGGUACCGGAGGAAUAAGCCCCGGCUAACUUCGCG
rnacentral:rRNA from 1 species